rnacentral:lncRNA from 1 species
CGCGACUCCCUUAGCCAAAAAGAUAACCACUUCAACUUGAGUAGUGGCCACUACUGCAUCCAUCAUACCGAGCAAACGACCUUGCUCGGAGGCCGAGAUGACUAGUAACGUUGCCCAGCCCUAUAAGCGUAUCAAGAAAAAGGCAAAGAAGGGAGAGUGGGAAAUUCAUGUUAUUUCAAGUCAAACCAUAUGAGCAACCACU